UUAUGGAGAGUUUGAUCCUGGCUCAGGACUAACGCUGGCGGCGCGCCUAACACAUGCAAGUCGAACGGGGCGGCUUUUGUAGCAAUACAGGAGCUUGCUUAGUGGCAGACGGGUGAGUAACACGUAGAUAAUGUACCUUCCCGCUGGGAACAACCCUUCGAAAGGAGGGCUAAUACCGAAUGCCUUCCCGGAGUCUCAUGGCACCGGGAAGAAAGCCGCAAGGCACGGGAAGAUCAGUCUGCGUCCCAUUAGCUUGUUGGUGGGGUAAUGGCCUACCAAGGCAGUUAUGGGUAGCCGGCCUGAGAGGGUGAUCGGCCACACUGGAACUGAGACACGGUCCAGACUCCUACGGGAGGCAGCAGUGAGGAAUUUUCCGCAAUGGGCGAAAGCCUGACGGAGCGACGCCGCGUGGGUGAUGAAGGCCUUCGGGUUGUAAAGCCCUGUGAGAGGGGAAGAAGACCCCGCAAGGGGAGACGGUACCCUCAGAGGAAGCCUCGGCUAACUACGUGCCAGCAGCCGCGGUAAGACGUAGGGGGCUAGCGUUGUCCGGAAUUAUUGGGCGUAAAGCGCUUGUAGGCGGGGCAGCAAGUCGUGGAGUAAAUCUCGUGGCUCAACUGCGAGAACAUUUGCGAAACUACUGCUCUUGAGAACAAGAGAGGGAAGUGGAAUUCCCGGUGUAGCGGUGAAAUGCGUAGAGAUCGGGAGGAACACCAGUGGCGAAGGCGACUUCCUGGCUUGAUUCUGACGCUGAGGAGCGAAAGCGUGGGGAGCGAACGGGAUUAGAUACCCCGGUAGUCCACGCCGUAAACGAUGGACACUAGGUGUAGGAGG
rnacentral:rRNA from 1 species